AGGGAGCUCCUGGAGACGCCGGCGUGGACGGCGUGGACGGGGAGCAGGGUGAAGCAGGGGCCCCGGGGCACCCCGGGGAGAAGGGGUCCCUGGGCAGGCAGGGGCAGAAAGGCUCCCGGGGUGCCCGGGGAGAGAAAGGACCCCCAGGGCUUUGUGGUGAGGGGG